AGAGUUUGAUCCUGGCUCAGAACGAACGCUGGCGGCAGGCUUAACACAUGCAAGUCGAACGCAUCCUUCGGGGUGAGUGGCAGACGGGUGAGUAACGCGUGGGGAUGUGCCCAGAGGUUUGGAAUAACUCAGGGAAACUUGAGCUAAUACCGGAUACGCCCUUAGGGGGAAAGAUUUAUCGCCUUUGGAUCAACCCGCGUCAGAUUAGCUAGUUGGUAGGGUAACGGCCUACCAAGGCGACGAUCUGUAGCUGGUCUGAGAGGAUGAUCAGCCACACUGGGACUGAGACACGGCCCAGACUCCUACGGGAGGCAGCAGUGGGGAAUAUUGGACAAUGGGCGCAAGCCUGAUCCAGCCAUGCCGCGUGAGUGAUGACGGCCUUAGGGUUGCAAAGCUCUUUUAAC
rnacentral:rRNA from 1 species